rnacentral:rRNA from 1 species
GACGAACGCUGGCGGCGUGCUUAACACAUGCAAGUCGAACGGAAAGGCCCUGCUUUUGUGGGGUGCUCGAGUGGCGAACGGGUGAGUAACACGUGAGUAACCUGCCCUUGACUUUGGGAUAACUUCAGGAAACUGGGGCUAAUACCGGAUAGGAGCUCCUGCUGCAUGGUGGGGGUUGGAAAGUUUCGGCGGUUGGGGAUGGACUCGCGGCUUAUCAGCUUGUUGGUGGGGUAGUGGCUUACCAAGGCUUUGACGGGUAGCCGGCCUGAGAGGGUGACCGGCCACAUUGUGACUGAGAUACGGCCCAGACUCCUACGGGAGGCAGCAGUGGGGAAUAUUGCACAAUGGGCGGAAGCCUGAUGCAGCAACUCCGCGUGCGGGAUGACGGACUUCGGGUUGUAAACCGCUUUCGCCUGUGACGAAGCGUGAGUGACGGUAAUGGGUAAAGAAGCACCGGCUAACUACGUG